rnacentral:rRNA from 1 species
UACGUAGGGGGCAAGCGUUGUCCGGAAUCAUUGGGCGUAAAGCGCGCGUAGGCGGCCCGGUAAGUCCGUUGUGAAAGUCAAAGGCUCAACCUUUGAACGCCGAUGGAUACUGCCGGGCUAGAGUCCGGAAGAGGCGAGUGGAAUUCCUGGUGUAGCGGUGGAAUGCGCAGAUAUCUGGAGGAACACCGGUGGCGAAGGCGGCAUCCUGGACCGGCAUUGACGCUGAGGCGCGAAAGCCAGGGGAGCAAACGGG